rnacentral:misc_RNA from 1 species
AGAGAGAGAGAGAGACUUCAUUGAAAUUCCUCUCGUUUGUAUUUCAACAUGUUUUUCUGCUGUUAAAGUCUGUGAUAAACAAGAGUACAACUGAGUCUAUGUGUAAACUAAGUAAGUGGACCCUUGUCGUCCCCUCUUACUUUUAGUCAGGCAGGCAUCCGGCCUUGGGCCUAUAAGUUUAACUGAGGCUUUUUCAGCAAGGGAACGGCAGCUAGAAUAACAGGAGAGGGUUAGAGAGGUCUUCUGUAUCGGUUUGCCAGUUUUGUGACACAAUUGUUGGGCUGGUUUCGCUGGCUGGUUGUUCGAUGUCUGACUGGUUGGCUGGUCGACGGCGGAAAAGAAAAAAAAACAACCAGAAAGCAGAGUAUAUAGGCAAAGGAAGCCAGUAGUCUAAAUUAAAAAUAACAAGAUAUCUGAAGCGAGAGAGAGAGAGAGAGAGGAUAGAGGGAAAGAUACAGAAAAGGAAGGAGGUAUAGAAAGACAAAUAGAUUGCGCGUAUGAGAGGGAGAGAGUGUGAGAGAAUUAGAGAGAGAGAAGGAUAGACUGAAACAGGAAAGGACGGGAGAAAGGGUGCGAUUAACAACAGACUAUGGAGAAGUUUGUUAACAGCCUGGACGUUUCCAAAUCGUCGAAUAAAACAUCUUUGUCCAUUGAUGAGCAACUGAUACAGGAUAGAUCGGAAAAUAAAACAGCAGACGAUGUUGUGGCCUAUUACCAUGAAAACCUGUGUCGGGAAGAAGCAGAGACUUUGUUACUUAACAUGGACCGUAAAAACAAAACUAACGGAAGAUUCCUGUUGAGAGAAAGCCGCAUCAAGCAGAACGACAAAGUAAUCUCCAUGUUGCAAGAUGGUAAAGUUUACCAUUUCCAUGUUGCGCAUAAGUUUGACAACUGCUUCCAGAUCGACUGUGGACCUAUAACACAAGGUAUCGAUAGACUGAUCAAGAUCCAUCAACACAAACCAGCUGGAUUGCCAUGCUGUCUGACGAGCUUCGUUCCCGGUAAACCACCACCUGCUGCCCUUCGGUGUCAAGGACCAACCAAUCUCUUGCACAAAGCUGUUCAAGAUCAAAAUACCAAACUCUGUGCUAAAAUCCUAAAUUCUAAAGAAUGUCCAGAUAUCAAUACAAGAAACAUAGAUGGUGACACACCUCUACAUAUUGCUUGUAAAAUAGGAAACAGCAGCAUUGUAAAACUUUUUUUGAAAUACAAGGUCAAUCUAUCAGUAAAGAAUCAAGACCACUGCACACCUCUUCAAGUGGCCUGCCAAGCAAACCAACCUGAGAUUAUUUCUGACCUCUUACAAAUUGCUAAAUAUGAUCCUCAUGAAAGAUGUGUAGUGUCGGGAUUAUAUCCACUACAUGAAGUGGCACAAAAGGGUUAUCAUAAAUGUGUACAGUUAUUUCUGCAGAAUCUCUCGCCGGCAUUUCCAAGAACUCAAGAAGGUCUCACACCAUUAGAUCUAGCAAUCGAAGGCAAACACAAUAAAUGUAUCAAACUCUUUGAGAAAAACGUCCCUCCCCAGGCAUUAACAAAACGCGAACAUUGGUUACAUCCAGAACUUGAAAGACAAGGUGCUGCAAUUUUACUGAAACGUGGCGCUACUACACCAGGAUUAUUCCUCAUUCGAAGAAGUAAAUGGCAUGAAGGAUGGUAUGUGAUGAGCAUCUAUUUUGGACACGUCUUCCAUUUUGAAAUACAGAACUGUGAAUACAAUGGCAAAGAAAUGUACUACAUAGACAAUGGACCAUACAUGUACUCACUCCAAUUACUGGUACACCACUACAAUAUGAGGUCUGAUGGACUUCCCUGUUUACUUAAGUACGGUCUGUCAGUAGAAGGUGAUAUCUAUGAAAUACCAAGGUUAAAUAAAAACUUAUUACGUUUAAAAUCAGAAGAUCUAGAAGUUCCAGUCCAACGGACAAGGACAUCAGUUCCUCUGAGGGUACCUCCACCAGUUCCACCUCCAGUUCCACCCACCUCACAACCCGAACAUACAGAAACAAAUUUCCAUUUCAUUGACUUCAGAGACAUCAAGAAAGGUGGUCUUUUAGGUCUUGGAGAAUUUGGUGAAGUAGUGAAAGGAACUUUAACUAUUCAUGAUGGCAAAAAAAGUAAAAAGAUAACAGUUGCUUUGAAAACCUUUAAUAAUAAUGUUGUGAACAGCACUUCAGACUUCUGUCGAGAAGCAAAGAUUAUGAUGAACUUGGACCAUAUAUGUAUCACCAAACUAAUCGGUCUCUGUCAGAUGCCUUUGAUGCUGGUUGAAGAAUUUGUCCCGAAAGGAUCAAUGCUAGACUUUCUCUUGGAUUACCCUUCAAAAGUUGAUGCAAAAGUAGAACUGAUUUUAUGGGCAUCUCAAAUUGCUUUUGGAAUGGUUUAUCUGGAAUCAAAGAAAAUGGUGCAUCGAGAUUUGGCAGCAAGAAAUAUCCUCUUAGAGUCUAAAAAACAGAUUAAAAUAAGUGAUUUUGGAUUAUCUCGAGCUGUUGGGGAGAACCAAUAUUAUCGUGCCACCACUGGAGGAAAAUGGCCUAUCAAAUGGUAUUCACCUGAGUCUGUGAAAUAUGGCCAUUUCUCACAUGCCUCAGAUGUCUGGAGUUUUGGUAUAACAUUAUGGGAAAUGUUCACAUAUGGAGAUGUACCUUACCAUGAUAUGAAAGGAAUUGAAGUCAUGAAAUUUUUGGAAAACAAUAACCGAUUGUCUCAGCCCAAAAAAUGCCCAAACGCAGUCUACAAGAUAAUGGGCUGCUGUUGGGAAAUGGAAAGCAAAGCUCGACCAACAUUCACAAAACUCCAGGAAUUCUUUACCAAUUUUGGAAACCAAAUGUAACUGAAGAGAAACCUGUUUUUGUUGUUGCUGCUGCUGUUUUUAUUGUUGUUGUCUGUGUUGUUUUUAUGUUGUCCUUUUGUUUUGUAAUUAUAUUUUUUAUUAUAUAUUUUUUAAUGAGGUCCGAGGGAUGGGGGUGUGACUUAAAGAAUCCUGAGAGCAUUCAACAAAAGGCUUUGUAACAUUUAGUUACAAAUGCUUACAUUCUAAGUUCAAAUCCCACCAAAAUCAACUUUGCCUUUCAUCCUUCCAUUCCAGAAUCAAGAAAAUAAGAACUGAGUCAGUAUAAUCCACUGUCCCUUUCUUUCACCACCACCACUUCCACCAAAAUCAAUCAGAUUGAUCAUUGAUUGACGUAUCUUAUCAUCAAAAAGCAAAGCUUUUAAGUCUUUUUAUCUGUAUGAAGUUUGUCAAAUAAAUCCUUUGGGGAUUUUGAGAGUUACAUACCAGUAAUAUACUGGAAUUAUAGGGACACAGGUAUUUAUCUGUUUGAGGUUUGUCAAAUAAAUCCUUUGGGGAUUUUGAGAGUUACAUACCAGUAAUAUACUGGAAUUAUAGGGGCGCAGGUAUUUAUCUGUUUGAGGUUUGUCAAAUAAAUCCUUUGGGGAUUUUGAGAGUUACAUACCAGUAAUAUACUGGAAUUAUAGGGACACAGGUAUUUAUCUGUUUGAGGUUUGUCAAAUAAAUCCUUUGGGGAUUUUGAGAGUUACAUACCAGUAAUAUACUGGAAUUAUAGGGGCACAGGUAUUACCGUGUCAAUAAGAAGCUUGCUCUGGGCUCAAUCUCAUCGUGCAGAACUUUUAGCAAGUGUCUCCUGCCAUAGAAUCUACCAAUUUCAGGUCAUUGUGGUGUUUGGUUGAGAAAAACUGUGCAGAGGUCCAACAUAAAUGUGUGUGUGUGUGUGUAUGUAUGUGUGUGUAUUAUACUAUGUUUGUAUAUAAAUAUCAGCUA